rnacentral:rRNA from 1 species
AGUGAACGCUGGCGGUAGGCCUAACACAUGCAAGUCGAACGGCAGCACAGUAAGAGCUUGCUCUUACGGGUGGCGAGUGGCGGACGGGUGAGGAAUACAUCGGAAUCUACUUUUUCGUGGGGGUUAACGUAGGGAAACUUACGCUAAUACCGCAUACGCCCUACGGGUGAAAGCAGGGGAUCUUCGUACCUUGCGCGAUUGAAUGAGCCGAUGUCGGAUUAGCUAGUUGGCGGGGUAAAGGCCCACCAAGGCGACGAUCCGUAGCUGGUCUGAGAGGAUGAUAAGCAAAACUGGAACUGAGAAACGGUCCAGACUCCUACGGGAGGCAGCAGUGGGGAAUAGUGGACAAUGGGCGCAAGCCUGAACCAGCCAUACCGCGUGGGUGAAGGAGGCCUUCAGGUUGUAAAGCCCUUUUGUUGGGAAAGAAAAGCAGCAGGUUAAUACCCCGCUGUUCUGACGGUACCCAAAGAAUAAGCACCGGCUAACUUCGUG